GCUGGCAUGUUCAGAAAUAUUCUUGGGCCCUGUAUUAAUUGAAUGUUGUACUCCCUCCGUCCUAAAUUAUAAGUAAUUCCAAAAUUUGACCAAAACUAUAGAAAGAAUUACAAAGAUUUAUCUUUAUGACAUAAAUUUAGUCAAAUACAAAAUUGUUUGAUUCUCCAAGAUUAAAAUAACUUAUAAUUUACCAUGAAGAGAGUAUUUCUCUUCACUAAAGGCCU
rnacentral:lncRNA from 1 species